rnacentral:rRNA from 1 species
GUCUAUGGUCUACCCUGAACAAGCCCAAUGUCUGAUCUCGGAAGUUAAGCAGGGUCAGGCCUGGUUAGUACUUGGAUGGGAAGACCACCUAGGAAGACCAGGUGCAGUAGGAA